CGGCGGUGAGGAGAUAACCUACUGUGCUGAAUUACGGUGAUGGUUCUUUAUACGCUAUUCUGAGCCGAUA
ensembl:snoRNA Gm24016 small nucleolar RNA U54